rnacentral:rRNA from 1 species
GAGUUUGAUCGUGGCUCAGAUUGAACGCUGGCGGCAUGCCUUACACAUGCAAGUCGAACGGCAGCACGGGAGCUUGCUCCUGGUGGCGAGUGGCGAACGGGUGAGUAAUGCAUCGGAACGUAUCCUGGAGUGGGGGAUAACGUAGCGAAAGUUACGCUAAUACCGCAUAUUCUGUGAGCAGGAAAGCGGGGGACCUUCGGGCCUCGCGCUCUUGGAUCGGCCGAUGUCGGAUUAGCUAGUUGGUGAGGUAAGGGCUCACCAAGGCGACGAUCCGUAGCAGGUCUGAGAGGAUGAUCUGCCACACUGGAACUGAGACACGGUCCAGACUCCUACGGGAGGCAGCAGUGGGGAAUUUUGGACAAUGGGGGCAACCCUGGUCCAGCCAUGCCGCGUGAGUGAAGAAGGCC